AGAGUUUGAUCCUGGCUCAGGAUGAACGCUGGCGGCGUGCUUAACACAUGCAAGUCGAGCGAUAAUUAGUUUCUGGAGGCUUCGGCCAAAGGAAACUGAGGGAAAGCGGCGGACGGGUGAGUAACGCGUGGGUAACCUACCUUAUACAGGGGGAUAACAUAUUGAAAAGUAUGCUAAUACCGCAUAAGCGCACGAAAUCGCAUGAUUUUGUGUGAAAAGCCGAGACGGUAUAAGAUGGACCCGCGUCUGAUUAGCUAGUAGGUGAGGUAAUGGCUCACCUAGGCGACGAUCAGUAGCCGACCUGAGAGGGUGAACGGCCACAUUGGGACUGAGACACGGCCCAAACUCCUACGGGAGGCAGCAGUGGGGAAUAUUGCACAAUGGAGGAAACUCUGAUGCAGCGACGCCGCGUGAAGGAUGAAGGUUUUCGGAUCGUAAACUUCUAUCAGCAGGGACGAUAAUGACGGUACCUGACUAAGAAGCCCCGGCUAACUACGUGCCACAGCAGCCGCGGUAAUACGUAGGGGGCAAGCGUUAUCCGGAAUUACUGGGUGUAAAGGGUGCGUAGGCGGUAAUGUAAGUCAGGUGUGAAAGCCCGAAGCUCAACUUCGGGAUUGCACUUGAACUGGCAGACUUGAGUGCAGGAGAGGAAAGUGGAAUUCCUAGUGUAGCGGUGAAAUGCGUAGAUAUUAGGAGGAACACCAGUGGCGAAGGCGACUUUCUGGACUGUAACUGACACUGAGGCACGAAAGCGUGGGGAGCAAACAGGAUUAGAUACCCUGGUAGUCCACGCCGUAAACGAUGAGCACUAGGUGUCGGGGUCGCAAGGUCGGUGCCGCAGUUAACGCAUUAAGUGCUCCGCCUGGGGAGUACGCACGCAAGUGUGAAACUCAAAGGAAUUGACGGGGACCCGCACAAGCAGCGGAGCAUGUGGUUUAAUUCGAAGCAACGCGAAGAACCUUACCAGGACUUGACAUCCCUCUGAAAGUCACUUAACCGUGACCCCCCUUCGGGGCAGAGGUGACAGGUGGUGCAUGGUUGUCGUCAGCUCGUGUCGUGAGAUGUUGGGUUAAGUCCCGCAACGAGCGCAACCCUUGUCUUUAGUUGCCAUCAGGUUAAGCUGGGCACUCUAGAGAGACUGCCGUGGAUAACACGGAGGAAGGUGGGGAUGACGUCAAAUCAUCAUGCCCCUUAUGAUUUGGGCUACACACGUGCUACAAUGGUCGGUACAACGGGCAGCGAAGGAGUGAUCUGGAGCGAAUCCUAAAAAGCCGAUCCCAGUUCGGAUUGUAGGCUGCAACUCGCCUACAUGAAGUUGGAGUUGCUAGUAAUCGUGAAUCAGAAUGUCGCGGUGAAUGCGUUCCCGGGUCUUGUACACACCGCCCGUCACACCAUGGAAGUUGGGGGGACCCGAAGCCAGUGAUCUAACCCGUAAGGGAGGAAGCUGUCGAAGGUAAGACCAAUGACUGGGGUGAAGUCGUAACAAGGUAACC
rnacentral:rRNA from 1 species